UACGUAGGGUGCAAGCGUUGUCCGGAAUUACUGGGCGUAAAGGGCGCGUAGGCGGAUAGUUAAGUUGGGGGUGAAAGCCCAGGGCUCAACCCUGGAAUUGCCUUCAAUACUGGCUAUCUUGAGUACGGGAGAGGUGUGUGGAACUCCGAGUGUAGAGGUGAAAUUCGUAGAUAUUCGGAAGAACACCAGUGGCGAAGGCGACACACUGGCCCGUUACUGACGCUGAGGCGCGAAAGCGUGGGGAGCAAACAGG
rnacentral:rRNA from 1 species